GACGAACGCUGGCGGCGUGCCUAAUACAUGCAAGUAGAACGCACAGUUUAUACCGUAGCUUGAUACACCAUAGACUGUGAGUUGCGAACGGGUGAGUAACGCGUAGGUAACCUGCCUGGUAGCGGGGGAUAACUAUUGGACACGAUAGCUAAUACCGCAUAAUAUUAAUUAUUGCAUGAUAAUUAAUUGAAAGGUGCAAUUGCACCACUACCAGAUGGACCUGCGUUGUAUUAGCUAGUAGGUGAGGUAACGGCUCACCUAGGCGACGAUACAUAGCCGAACUGAGAGAGUGGUGGGCCACACUGGGACAGAAACACGACCCAGACUACUACGGGAGGCAGCAGUAGGGAAUCUUCGGCAAAGGACGAAAGGAGGAACGAGAAACGCCGCGUGAGUGAAGAAGGGUUUCGGAGCGUAAAGAUCAGUUGUAAGAGAAGAACGGGUGGGAGAAUGGAAAGUUCACACUGAGACGGUAUCUUACCAGAAAGGAACGGCUAAAUACGUA
rnacentral:rRNA from 1 species